GAUGAAGAACGUAGCGAAAUGCGAUACGUAAUGUGAAUUGCAGAAUUCAGUGAAUCAUCGAAUCUUUGAACGCAUAUUGCGCUCUCUGGUAUUCCGGAGAGCAUGCUUGUUUGAGUAUCAGUAAACACCUCAACUCCCCUUUCUUUUUUUGAAAUGGGAGCUGGACUUGAGUGAUCCCAACGCUUUUCUCACCGAAAAGUGGCGGGUUACUUGAAAUGCAGGUGCAGAUGGACUUUUCUCUGAGCUAAAAGCAUAUCUAUUUAGUCUGCCUAAAAAACAGAUUAUUACCUUUGCUGCAGCUAACAUAAAGGAGAUUAGUUCUUGUGCUGACUGAUGCAGGAUUCACAGAGACAGCUUCGGCUGGCCUUUGUAAACUCGAUCUCAAAUCAAGUAAGACUACCCGCUGAACUUAAGCAUAUCAAUAAGCGGAGGA
rnacentral:misc_RNA from 1 species